rnacentral:rRNA from 1 species
UACGGGAGGGGCUAGCGUUAUCCGGAUUCAUUGGGUUUAAAGGGAGCGUAGGCGGUCUUAUAAGUCAGUGGUGAAAGCUCCUCGCUUAACGAGGAAAUUGCCAUUGAUACUGUAGGACUUGAGUACAGUUGCUGUGGGCGGAAUAUGACAUGUAGUGGUGAAAUACAUAGAUAUGUCAUAGAACACCGAUUGCGAAGGCAGCUCACAAAACUGUAACUGACGCUGAGGCUCGAAAGUGCGGGGAUCAAACAGG